AGGAGCCGAAGAAGGACGUGGCGAACAACGAAACUGCCUCGGGGAGCUGUAAGCAAGCUUUGAUCCGGGGGUGUCCGAAUGGGGAAACCCGGCUGUGGUAAUACGCAGUCACUCACAUCUGAAUACAUAGGGUGUGAAGAGGCAUACCAGGGGAACUGAAACAUCUAAGUACCCUGAGGAAGAGAAAACAAAAGUGAUUCCGUCAGUAGCGGCGAGCGAACGCGGAUUAGCCUAAACCAGAGAGCUUGCUCUCUGGGGUUGUGGGACGUCUCACAUGGAGUUACAAAGGAACAGGUUAGACGAACAGGUCUGGAAAGGCCGGCCGUAGAAGGUAAAAGCCCUGUAAUUGAAAGUCUGUUCCCUCCGAGACGGAUCCCGAGUAGUGCGGGGCACGUGAAACCCCGUAUGAAUCUGGCAGGACCAUCUGCUAAGGCUAAAUACUCCCUAGCGACCGAUAGUGAAGCAGUACCGUGAGGGAAAGGUGAAAAGCACCCCGGAAGGGGAGUGAAAAAGAUCCUGAAACCGUGUGCUUACAAGAAGUCAGAGCCCUAUUAAUGGGUGAUGGCGUGCCUUUUGUAGAAUGAACCGGCGAGUUACGUUUGCAAGCAAGGUUAAGGUGAGAAGCCGGAGCCGCAGCGAAAGCGAGUCUGAAUAGGGCGAUUCAGUUUGUAGGCGUAGACCCGAAACCGUGUGAUCUACCCCUGUCCAGGGUGAAGGUGCGGUAACACGCACUGGAGGCCCGAACCCACGUAUGUUGAAAAAUGCGGGGAUGAGGUGGGGGUAGCGGAGAAAUUCCAAUCGAACUCGGAGAUAGCUGGUUCUCCCCGAAAUAGCUUUAGGGCUAGCCUCGGUGAAAAGAGUCGUGGAGGUAGAGCACUGAUUGGGUGCGGGGCCCGCCAAGGGUUACCAAGCUCAGUCAAACUCCGAAUGCCAUGGACUUAUAACCGGGAGUCAGACAGUGAGUGCUAAGAUCCAUUGUCAAGAGGGAAACAGCCCAGACCAUCAGCUAAGGUCCCCAAGUGUGUGUUAAGUGGGAAAGGAUGUGGAGUUGCACAGACAACCAGGAUGUUGGCUUAGAAGCAGCCACCAUUUAAAGAGUGCGUAAUAGCUCACUGGUCGAGUGACUCUGCGCCGAAAAUGUAACGGGGCUAAACACACCACCGAAGCUAUGGCUUGAUACUUAUGUAUCAGGGGUAGGGGAGCGUUGUAUGUAGGUUGAAGGUGUACCGUAAGGAGCGCUGGACAGCAUACAAGUGAGAAUGCCGGUAUGAGUAACGAAAAGAUCAGUGAGAAUCUGAUCCGCCGAAAGCCCAAGGUUUCCUGAGGAAGGUUCGUCCGCUCAGGGUAAGUCGGGACCUAAGGCGAGGCCGAAAGGCGUAGUCGAAGGACAACAGGUUGAAAUUCCUGUACCACCAAAGUCCGUUAUGAACAAUGGGGUGACGCAGGAGGGUAGUGACGCAGCGUGAUGGAAUACGCUGUCCAAGCAGUGAGGCUGAUGUGUAGGCAAAUCCGCACAUCGUAAGGCUGGGCUGUGAUGGGGAGGGAAAAUUUACAGUACCGAAGGUCAUGAUCUCACACUGCCAAGAAAAGCCUCUAGCCAGGAGAAGGUGCCCGUACCGCAAACCGACACAGGUAGGCGAGAAGAGAAUUCUAAGGCGCGCGGAAGAACUCUCGUUAAGGAACUCGGCAAAAUGACCCCGUAACUUUGGGAGAAGGGGUGCCCCGGUAGUGUGAAUAGCACGAGGGGGCCGCAGUGAAAAGGCCCAAGCGACUGUUUAGCAAAAACACAGGUCUGUGCGAAGCCGUAAGGCGAAGUAUACGGGCUGACGCCUGCCCGGUGCUGGAAGGUUAAGGGGAGCGGUUAGGGGUAACCCGAAGCUGUGAACCGAAGCCCCAGUAAACGGCGGCCGUAACUAUAACGGUCCUAAGGUAGCGAAAUUCCUUGUCAGGUAAAUUCUGACCCGCACGAAUGGCGUAACGACUUGGGCGCUGUCUCAACGAGAGAUCCGGUGAAAUUUUAAUACCUGUGAAGAUGCAGGUUACCCGCGACAAGACGGAAAGACCCCAUGGAGCUUUACUACAGCUUGAUAUUGAACUUUGAUGCGAUUUGUACAGGAUAGGUGGGAGCCUAGGAAUCCGGAGCGCCAGCUUCGGUGGAGGCAUCGUUGGGAUACCACCCUGAUCGUAUCGAAGUUCUAACCUAGGACCGUGAUCCGGUUCGGGGACAGUGUCAGGCGGGUAGUUUGACUGGGGCGGUCGCCUCCUAAAGAGUAACGGAGGCGCCCCAAGGUUCCCUCAGAAUGGUUGGAAAUCAUUCGAAGAGUGCAAAGGCAUAAGGGAGCUUGACUGCGAGACUGACAAGUCGAGCAGGGACGAAAGUCGGGCUUAGUGAUCCGGUGGUACCGCAUGGAAGGGCCAUCGCUCAACGGAUAAAAGCUACCCUGGGGAUAACAGGCUUAUCUCCCCCAAGAGUCCACAUCGACGGGGAGGUUUGGCACCUCGAUGUCGGCUCAUCGCAUCCUGGGGCUGAAGUAGGUCCCAAGGGUUGGGCUGUUCGCCCAUUAAAGCGGUACGCGAGCUGGGUUCAGAACGUCGUGAGACAGUUCGGUCCCUAUCUGUCGUGGGCGUAGGAAAUUUGAGAGGAGCUGUCCUUAGUACGAGAGGACCGGGAUGGACGCACCGCUGGUGCACCAGUUGUUCCGCCAGGAGCAUAGCUGGGUAGCUAAGUGUGGACGGGAUAAGCGCUGAAAGCAUCUAAGCGUGAAGCCCCCCUCAAGAUGAGAUUUCCCAAUUAGUAAGACCCCUUGAAGACGACGA
rnacentral:rRNA from 1 species